CACCGAGUCCGAGGUUUCGGGAUGGACCGGAACCUGGUGCAAAAGGGA
rfam:Streptomyces coelicolor A3(2) complete genome